CCUACGGGAGGCAGCAGUCGAGAAUCAUUCACAAUGGGGGAAACCCUGAUGGUGCGACGCCGCGUGGGGGAAUGAAGGUCUUCGGAUUGUAAACCCCUGUCAUAUGGGAGCAAAUUAAAAAGAUAGUACCACAAGAGGAAGAGACGGCUAACUCUGUGCCAGCAGCCGCGGUAAUACAGAGGUCUCAAGCGUUGUUCGGAAUCACUGGGCGUAAGGCGUGCGUAGGCUGUUUCGUAAGUCGUGUGUGAAAGGCGCGGGCUCAACCCGCGGACGGCACAUGAUACUGCGAGACUAGAGUAAUGGAGGGGGAACCGGAAUUCUCGGUGUAGCAGUGAAAUGCGUAGAUAUCGAGAGGAACACUCGUGGCGAAGGCGGGUUCCUGGACAUUAACUGACGCUGAGGCACGAAGGCCAGGGGAGCGAAAGGGAUUAGAUACCCGAGUAGUC
rnacentral:rRNA from 1 species